UCAAACAAAUUUGAAACGGCCUAUCACAUAGCUCAAUUAUCGUAGGCUUAGGUUCAUAAUCACCCUUUUAAUUAAUUAACACUUUAACUAAUUAAUUGAAUGCAACAUUUUCAUUUGGUUUUUGUAUCCAUAAAAUUGAUUUAAAUGGAGCUAAAUGAAAUGAAAAUCCAAUUCUCAUUUAAAGCGACAAAACAAUUUUGUUCUCAAACUAUUUGGGCCAUCAUGCAAUAACCACAACUUUU
rnacentral:lncRNA from 1 species